rnacentral:rRNA from 1 species
UACGUAGGGGGCGAGCGUUGUCCGGAUUUAUUGGGCGUAAAGAGCUCGUAGGCGGUUUGGUAAGUCAGGUGUGAAAUCUCCACGCUCAACGUGGAGGGGCCACCUGAUACUGCCAUGACUGGAGUCCGGUAGAGGAGUGUGGAAUUCCCGGUGUAGCGGUGAAAUGCGUAGAUAUCCGGAGGAACACCAGUGGCGAAGGCGGCUUUCUGGACACCAACUGACGCUGAGAUGCGAAAGCGUGGGGAGCAAACAGG